GGAGGCUAUUCGGGAUUGAGGGAGACGCAUAUUAGUGGAAUGUUUCUACUAAAAUAAUCAUCAGUGAAAUACUUAACAACGUUGGCAUUUAAAAGUCAAAUUGUGCUCGAAGCCCAACAGCUCCCAUCAAGCUAGAUUGUGGUGGCCUUGUGCGGCCACUCCCCACUUACUUCCUGUUCAGGUUGUGACUCCGGACACAGGGAAAAAGCAGAAGCCGCUGUGCUAGGACACGCUGGACAAUAAGCAUUCUGGCCCGCACAAAUGUUUGAGGUUUCAAAAUCUGGUUUGGUUCCACCUAAUCUUUCGAAAUGUUUUGUGAGAAAACACCAGAGCGAGAAAGCAAGCCAUCCAAGAAUAGCCAAUAGCCCAGUGGUUAGGGCAUUCACCUAGGAUGUGGGAGAUGCAAGUUCUUCCUGGUUCACAACAGGGACUACAGUGUGGUCUCCCACAUCCCAGGUGAGUGCAAUAAUUGUCAGGCUCCUCUGGGGGUGUGAAGGGUGAUCUGUUCUUUUAAGGGUAGUGGUGUCUAGAAGUCAGCAGCAGCGUGCUGAUUUCAACAAAAUUCCAUUUUAAAAUAAUCAAAACAACGAGCUUUGAUAAGAUCUCGAAACGCUCUGCCGGUUUCAAAAAUAUCUUGAUGGACCCAACAAUGUCACAUGGUGGGGAAGUUCAAAAUUAGAUGCUUUGCUUUUGUUCAGAAGAGGAACAAAUCUAGAAAUCACGGAAUUUGCUGUUCAAUGGAAAUUCCAGUUCCCUCCCAGCUCUACUUUAAACACAAUGAACAUGAAGAUCCCAUCUAAGGCAUCUGUGUGGGAGGAAACCCAGCUUGUUGCAGGGUCAUUCAACUCCACUCAGAUCAAGUUAUUCUUCCCUUGUGUGUGAUAAAUGGAUGAGUCAUCCUGUCCCUAUGGGGGACUAAGGACUGUGGUUCCCAGUGCAGGCUGGGAGACACUCACAGUGCUGAUUAAAUAAUGAGAGUUUAUAUAAACCACAAGGAACCCAAUGUUCUCUCAGGAAUUUCAGUCUAAAACUCAUUUCAGGAAAGCAGGGAGGAGUAGGUCCAAGAGACGUGUUAUUUGAAAAUCCUGAGCAACAUCUCUCCUAGCUGGUAGCAGUAUCCCAGAAGGUUCUUAUCUAUUCUGCAGGCCAGCCACAAGGGGGCAAUGUCACACUUUCAUACACUUCUUAUAGCCCUAUCAUCUGGUCUGGUGCCUAGACUACGCACUCCACAUCCAUUGCUGCUUUUUUAACAUGUUUGUGUUUCCACCCUUCCUGCAUUUUGUGUGCAGGUCAACCUGGGAUGUGAGGGUAUCCUCCAAUUUUAAAAUGGUUACAGGCCUUGUCCUAGAAAACACGAGUCUUUUCCCUGCUAGGAAUACAAGCGGCUGCCAUGUAUUUAAUUUAAUUUUGGCAAAGUGCGCGGGGACAGUGUCUAAUUUGAGUCAAGUGUUUUUUAAAGUGUCCCUUUAACUGAGAAAUUAUAAGGUGGAAUGGCUCCCUCCAGUCAAGCGUUGUCCUAUAGCCUCUCUCGCUGCUUCUCCCGAAAGUGAGACCAUGCCAAAAUAUUGGUACUGAACAGUUAAAAACACCAGUGUCAGACAAAACCACUAGUCUAAGUGUUUCUGUGGGUGAUUAAGAGACUCGAUAACUACUGAGAGUUGGUUAUUCUGGACAUGGCUAUAUUUCCACAUGCAAAUCCUUGUUGAUUAAAACUCAUUGGCAUGCAGUCCUGGCAACGUCGUCUGCCAACAGCUGAGUCACAGGCUCAUGUUUCCAGUCAAAAGUGUCACUUGCCAGGAUCCAUGAUAAGUAAAAAGACUCUAAAAAGAGGAUGAUGAAGAAGAAGAAAAAGGACCACCUUGGGAGGUGGUUUGGUCCAGCGGAUAAGUUGCUGAACCAGGAAAACUGGGUUCUUUAUUCCUGCCUCUUCCACUGACCUCUGAUAUGACCCUGGGCAAACCAGGGUUACUUUUAUUAUUUGUAUUACCAUAGUCCCUAUGAGCCCCAGUCGCAGACCAGGAUCCCAUUGUGCUAGGCACUGUACAAAUACCCUUGGUUGGUCUUGCCUAUUAAGAUUUUAAAGUAACAGUCUGUUUCUUACUAUGUGUUUGUACAAUGCCUAGUACUAAAGGAUCCUGAUCUGGGUUGGAACAUUGAGACCCUACUAUGAUAUUAAUAAUAAUUUUGGCACAAAGAUGUUUUUUAAAGUAGGGAAUGGGUGGUGUCUAGUGGUGUGAGGCGGAGACACAGAAUCAGGGCUCUUGGGUUCUAAUCCCAGCUCUACCAAGGACUCACUGUAGGCUCAGGGAUGCAUGGUACUGAGUACUUCCUGUGAAGUGCUGAGUGUCCUCCACUCCCAUUGACUUCUGUGGGAUCUGAGGUGGCCCAGAUUUCACUAAAGGCAGACAGCCCAUUGCAGAGUCAGGCCCUAUGUCACCCUGGUCAAUUCUCUUAGGCAUUGUAGAAGAACCUAUAGAGGCAGAAAUAGUUUGUCAUUCUAUUAUAUCAGUGCCUUCCAGGUGUAUUAAAGUGGACACAAGAAGAUCUCAGCAUCAUUCCCUCCUUUUCUCCCCCUUUUGCUAUAGGGGGACUUUAGCUUAGUUUUCUACGGGGUUUUGUUGGGGCUCUGGAAGUCAAGCUAGACUGCAGGCAUGCAUACUACAUUUCAUUGUGAAGGUGCUGCAGUUUGUGACCAUCUUGCUCCCUUCUGGAAGGGAGUUCCAGUUGUGGACCAGUUGCUGAGGAAGCUCUUGUGGCUGCCAUCUGAGCAGAAUGGAGUUGUCCUGCGGAGUCAUUUCCCUGGAGGGCUUCUUGGGUCAAUCCCUGAGAGCGCUCCGCAGGUAAGGCCCCCAGACUUUGAACUUGGCGGGAUCUUCUGUGAGAAUUCCUUGAAGCCCAUGAGGAAAUAUCAGCAGUCUGGGUUCAAUUCCUGGCUUUGCCACAGACUUCCUGUGUGACCUUGGGCCAGUCCCACAGUCUUUCUGUGCGUUAGUUUCCACCUCUUUAUAAUGGAAAUAAUAAUUGCUAUUUUUCAUCUGUUUUAACUAUUAGAGUGUACAUUUUGGGAGCAAGGAUGAUCUCUCCUAUGCGUUUGUACAUCACUUAACGCAAUGGAGUUCCAGCUCAGAUCUUGGAUACAAAUAAUGAAUAGAUUACAGGGCGGGUGGUUUUCUUUGAUUUUUUUAUUUUUAUUUCCCUGUGAUUAGUGCUGGAUAAGGUCUAUGUGGAAGGGAAAAAUUGUUUUGAAAUAUUUGUAAUUAGUCUUUUACCGCUACAAAUCAAUUCCAAAGGGUUGUCACUGCCAAUUCAGUCAUCGUUACAAUGGACUGGAAAUAAAUAACUCUUUAUGUGCUCUGGUCUUUUGAUCUGAGUGUGGCAAGAAAGAUAUUUAUAACUUACUCCAUUUAAUCAAUUUUUUUUAAUGUACAGUGUUCAUCAAAAAAAGUCAGGCUUAGCUUCCAAACAACACUGUAAAUUCAGAAUCCUUAGUGGGUGUAUUUGGCUAUUUCUCAGGAAUGACAGGACUGGCCGGGCUCAUUGUUUUCUCAGCUAACAUUCAGGUUUCUGAUUUCAAGGAUACCAGCUUCAGGCAACCUAUUCUGAGAGAGUUUUGUUUGCAUUACCAGCCACUGUCAGUCAUUUUUUCAGCACAAGGAGGAAGAGUUUCCCAUUAAAUGAUGAACUCAAAUGUAAAUAAGUAAAUACAAGUAAAACGUUUUUUAAAACUCUGUUUUAGGUCCUGGAUCUAUUUAUCCCUUCAUCUAUCUCCAAUGGAGGUUGUGGAAUCCCUGUCAUUGGAGAUUUUUAAGAACAGGUUGGACAAACACCUAUCAGGGAUGGUCUAGGUUUAUUUGGUCCUGCCUCAGUCCAGGGAGCUGGGCUAGAUGACCUCUCGAGGUCCCUUCAAGCCUUACAUUUCCAUGACUUUAUGAUUUAUGCAACAUUAACCAUCUAUGAAUCUGUUUAUGUAUAUGCCAGCACAUCAUCUAUCCAUCCAUUGGAGGUGUCAUCUUUCUAACUAUCUUCUUCCACCUGCACCCAAUGACAGUAGCACUAUGGCAAGACAUGAAAGAAUUCAAGCUGAAAGGAUAUCCUCUGUAGGCUGCAGUCUCUCUCCAGACACGGGCUCACACUUUCUGAGGCAUUUGAACCUGUCUCUCCAAGGAACAUAGCUGUUUCCGACCUGACGUUUGCUAAACCACCCCUUCAUUACUCAUGGAAACGAACCUUUGGAAAUGCUCAGCGUUGCAUGAAAACAGUCCAACAUCUCUCUCCGGUCCUUCGCUGUCUGGUGGCUUGGUUAAAUUGAGCCAUUGAUUUCCUGGAUCAUCAGACUUGUCUGAGCUGCACGAUCCUGAAGCUCUGCUCCUUCCCAGAUCACACCAGCUGCUGGAUUGCACGUGCUCAACGAAAGUCCAUCGAAAUCCCUGUGCAAUUUGUGCAAUGAAUUAAAACGGUACUCAUUUGAUAAAGGGGAAGUGGCUCCCUGAAUGUUAUUGUAUAAGCUGCUGAGGGAGGGAUGGACAGGAAAGGGCUAUCAGGAGGAAGCAUACUUGUUACAUCAGGAAGUGCAGGGUGUUCCUUUAAGCAGGAGUUCACAGCACUGAUACUCUUGUUUCUGGAGAACCACAUGUUAACCAUCUGUCUGCUGCCAACUAGCUCAGGUGCUAUAGAAGAUCUCUGAAUAGAAUCAUAGAAUCAUAGAAGAUUAGGGUUGGAAAUGACCUCAGGAGGUCAUCUAGUCCAAUCCCAAAGCACGACCAACACCAAUUAAAUAGAAGCAUCCCUACCAGUUAGAGGCAUGUGCAUACAGACCACAUACCUCUUGAGAAUAAUAAACUGAUUGCAGAACUUCACUGAGCACAGUAGACAAUUCUAUAAGGAAGAAUCAUGCAGGACAAUGCAGAAUGGUCCACUGAUAUCCAAUUAACUAUUGUUCAGUCGUUUUCUAUGCAUCAGUGGUAGGGGUGCCAUCAAUGUUAUACCAUAUAUCUUGAUACAUCAAUGAAUGUGUGCUUUAUAUUGUAGACUUUCCCCUUUAAAGUAGUUGUUUUUAAAGACAUCUUUGCAUUAAUGUAAGAUAAUUCUGUGUGCGUGAUGGUGAUGUAUUUGAUAGAAAAAAUAAUAUGCUACUUUGGAAGUUAGCAAGAGAGGCUGGUUUUCUUUCCUCACAGUGAAAAAAAUGUAGUCAAGUAAUUAGUUCCUAGCAUCCCUUAUCUAUCCAGUAUUACCUGGCAAUUAUAACAGAAAGAGGAAAAUAAUGAAGAAAGGAAU